rnacentral:rRNA from 1 species
GACGGAAGGUGCAAGCGUUGCUCGGAAUCACUGGGCGUAAAGGGUGCGUAGGCGGCUUGGUGGGUCUGGUGUGAAAGCCCCGGGCUCAGCCCGGGAAGGGCACUAGAAACUGCCAAGCUAGAGUGCCGGAGGGGAGAGUGGAAUUCCUGGUGUAGCGGUGAAAUGCGUAGAUAUCGGGAGGAAGGCCGGUGGCGAAGGCGGCGCUCUGGAACGUUUCUGACGCUGAGGCUCGAAAGCGUGGGGAGCAAACAGG